AAGAAGAAGAAGAACGUUUCGCUGGAAAAUAUGCUGAAUCCUUUACUGAAUAAGCGUCUUUCUACAGGAUCAGCAGGACAUUAUUCUGGCAGCACAAACAGCAAAAAAAAAGAAUGUCUCGGCUACUUCAGCAGAGGAACUAACAUUCAUCAAAGUGACUUUAGCAAUGAGAAGAGCAAAGCAUGUUAUGGAAGUUGUGCUGUGUGAUUCUACUCAUCAUCCAGAGAGAUACAGAAACUAUACAGGUGAUUGGAGGACGCAGGACUGUGGUACAGGGGGAGGGUGUGGACUUAUCCUGCAGACUGAUAGAGACAACCGAGGACCUCGAACAGAUAACAUGGCAGAAAAGUACUUGGGAAGAAAAACAGAACCAUAAUUUUAUGCUGAUUUAUCCCAAUGGGGUUACUAACUUUAUUGCACUGAAUGGAUUGAAAGGUAGAGUCCAGUUUAUUGGGAACACAUCAGAAAACCUUGGAUCUAUUAGAAUAACAGCUGUCAGACUGUUGGAUGAAGGCACCUUCACAUGUAUCUUCAGUAUUUUCCCCAGUGGAGCAUACAGUACAGAGAUAUCUCUAACUGUGCUUGUUCCUCCAGUUGUGAGUGUGACAGUUGAUGUUCCUCCUGUCAUUGGGGAGAAUGAGGUUGUCUUGGCAACCUGUGUGGCUGCUGGUGCGAAGCCACAGGCAGAAGUGAAGUGGAAGACAGGUGCAUUUGGCAGUUUGUUGAGGACGGUGACUAACUUUACCCAGCACGCCAACGGAACCGCCACAGUACUCAGCCACCUGCUUGGGGUACCGACCAGAGCAGCCAAUCAGCAGCAGGUCCAGUGUGUCGUCAACCAGUCUGCCCUGGCAACAGAAAGUAGCUACAACUACACCAUAAACAUCCACUAUCCACCUCAGUCAGUGAACAUCACCCUUAGUGAGGCCUCUCAAGCCACAGUCUUACUAUGUCUAGCAGACGUCAACCCACAACCCAACUACACCUGGAGCAGAGUGGGCCAGCCAUGGCCUGUGUCUUCAGUGAGAGCAGAGGGAGACAUACUGCACCUCCUCAGUCUCAGCUCUGAGCUGAAUGGUCUCUAUGUCUGUGAGGCCUCCAACCCCUACGGACGAGCAACUGGCUCCCUCUAUGUACACACAUCCUCUGAGACCUCUGCUGCCUGUUGGGUUUUACUCGUUGUCAUUCUAUGUCUGAUUGUUACUGCGGCUGCACUCGUAUGGUACUGGUGGAAAUACGGGCAAUUUCCUUGGAGUUCAAUCAUGGCCAAAGUACCUGAACAGACUGAAUCAGUAUCUUCCCUGAGGAGGAGACAUGACAAGGUUGAGGAAGGUGAAGGUGACUCAUUGGCUGCAACCGUCCAAACCAGGAAUGAGCCUGAGGAGGAAGAAGAAGUAUCAUGAUCUCGAAGAAAUCACCGGACAGGCUUUAAGCGCAUGCCAGAAGAAUCUCCAAAUGGGUCUGCACAUUCUCCUAUGUUCUAACCAUCUGCAAAGAACAGGCACAUUCUACAACCAUCUAAUGAACAAUAUAUUCUAUGACAUUGGAAACCUUGACUCCACCACAGCUUCACCCAGUGCUGGUCCUCGUUUCAGUUUUUUGUUCUCCUCUCGUGGACUCCGCCUUGUCAUGGUGGAGGGGCUUUGUUGCUUCAGCGGGAACAACAACUCUCCUGGUGAUACUUCUGGUGACUACCGUAAGGCCCUCCUCCUGCUCUGUGGUGGCGAUGACGCGUAACCGUGGCGAUGACCCCUGAAGGGGGGCGGGACCCGGAGAGACCUCCGCUCUGACUGGCCCCUCUAGCGGUCAAUCACUCUCUGAGUCCUGUGUAAGCCAAUAGGAGAGCUCUGCUGGUGGAACAAGCUCCCUCACGACGCCAGGACAGCGGAGUCACUCACCACCUUCCGGAGACAUUUGAAACCCCACCU